rnacentral:lncRNA from 1 species
AACAAUUUGGUAUUUACACAUAUGUGUCCUCUGUAUUUUUCUUAAGAGUAUGGGAUCAAUACGCAUCCAUUUGCCUAAAAAUGUCUCCAGUUUAUCAUUCUUUCUGACUGAGUAGUACUCCAUUUUAUAAAAAAUCCCACAUCUUCUUUAUCUAGUCAUCAGUUGACAGGGAUUUGGGUUGUUUCUUAGAUUUAGCUAUUACAAACUGUGCCGCUGUAAACAUGAGUGCACAUAUAUCACUGUGGUAUGAUGCUUUUAAUUCUUUUAGGAAGAUUCCAAGCAGGGGAAUAGCUGGGUCAAACGGGACUUCCAAUCCUAGUUUUUUGAGGAAUCUCCAUACUGAUUUCCCAGGGGUUGCACCAGUCUACACUCCCACCAACAGUGGAGAAGGGUUCCUUUUUUCCCAAAGCCCCACUAGCAUUUGUUAUUGCUUGAUUUCUUGAUAGCAGCCAUUCCUUCUGGGGUGAGGUGGAAUCUCAGCGUUGUUUUCAUUUGCAUCUCUCGAAUGACCAUUGAUGUUGAACAUUUUUUCAUAUGUUUAUUUGCCAUUUCUACUUCUUUGUCUGAGAAAUGUCUGUUCAUUUCAGAUGUCCAUUUUUGGGUUGAGUCUUUAAAUUUGGGAGGUCUGAUUUUUUUAAAGUUCUUUAUAGAUUCUAGAUAGUAGACCUUUGUCUGAGGAAGAGCAGGUGAAAAUUUUUUCCCACAUUGUGGGUUGUCUCUUCACACUCUUGGUGGUUUCUCUUGCUGUGCAGAAGCUUUUUUUUUUUUUUUGGUACCAGGGAUCGAAUUCAGGACUUUGCGCUUGUGAGGCAGGUGGCGGAACCACUGAGCUAAAUCCCUGGCUGUGCAGAAGCUUUUUAAUAAGAAGAGAUCCCAUCUGGGGAUUUAGCUCAGUGGUUUUACUGCCUGCUGCACCAGUGCAAGGACCAGAGUUCGAUCCCCGGUAUUAAAAAAUAAAAUAAAAUAAAUAAAAAAUAAAGGUUAGUUCAGGCCCAAUCCAUUGGGCCGGGGAUUUAGCUUAGUGGUUUCGCCACCUACUGUGCAAGCGCAAGGACCCAAGUUCAAUCCCCGGUACCAAAAAGACAAAACAGAAGAGAUCCCAGUUGUUGAUUCUUUGUACUUUUUCUUGUACAAUUGAGGUUUUGUUCAUAAAGUCUUUUCCUAUGCCAAUGUCUUCAAGAGUUCUACCUACCCUAUCUUCUACCAGGUUUAAUGUUACUGAUUUAAUAUUUAGAUCUUUGAUCCAUUUCAAUUUUAGUUUAGUGCAUAGUAAGAGAUGCAGGUCUAGUUUUACUCUUUGGCAAGUUGAAACCCACUUCUUCCAGCACCAUUUAUUAAAGAGGCGAUCUUUUCUCCAGUGAAGGUGUUUGGCUCCUUUGUCAAAGAUGAGGUGGCUGAGUGUGUCUGGAGUUGUUUCUGCAUCUUCUAAUCUGUUCCAUUAAUCCUCCAGUCAUUCACCCUCCUAUAAAGGGUGAUCAAAAAUUACAGUAUAUGUUUAAAUUUCUUCAAAAGUUUUUUAUAGUAAAAUUCACAUGGCUAUUAAUCCCUGUCAAAAUACGUACUUACAUUUUGAACAUACAUAUGUAGUUCUUGCCACUUUCUGAAGCACUUGUGGAAAUCUUUGUAAGUGAUUGUAUGAGGUAUGAUUUUAAAACAUGUUGAGUAAAAGCUGUUGCCAGAAAGACUUGUAAAAACAUGAUGAUGUGUCCUCAUCCAUGUUAUUCACCAGAUCCUGAACUAUGAAACUUCUGGCUCUUCCUAAAAGUAAAAAAGUUGGAGAAAGGUAAAAGUUUUCAAUCAAGACAUCAGUGUAGCCACAACAGUGCCACUUAAGAUAGUCACACAGGACGAUUUCCAGAUCUGUUUCAGAAAGUGAAAUCAACAAUGGGGUGAGUGUGACUGAAGUGAAGAGGAAGGAAAGUAUUUUAGGAGGAAUGAAUGGUAGUGUGUUUUUAUCAUAAGACUUUAAAAGAAUUUAAGGAUUCUCUGUAUUUUUAUCAAACCUUAUAAGUUAACAUUUUAAAAAGGCAAGAAUUGUGCAUAAACACUGAGAGAAACUCUUCUCAUAGGAGAAAUAAAUUAAUUGAAAAAGUAAUAUAUAUAUAUAUUCAUUCACUCACACUUGAUCCAAUAUGAAUGAGUGUUUUUCAUCAUUACAUAUUGUUGCAUCCUUUUUUCACAUUGAUAUGGCACGGUUUCAAUGACUUUUUGAAUGCAAAAUACUUGUUCUACAAGAUUACUUAAGAUGCAGAAAGGAUAGCUAAAGAAAGUGCUAUAUCACAUCUGACGUCAUAUAGGACAUACAUACUUGUUUUCAGGUCUUUGUAUCUGUGAGUUUCCUGCCCACUCUUGCCAGUGCUUCCUGAGAGAACAGUGGUAAGAGUCCCAUCUGUAACAGGGGGUUUUCACUUCUAUUUGCUUUGGCUUCCUCAUGAAGUCCUUGUUGGUUGCAAACACAUUGGGAUCUGUCGUGUUUUCUAGGUGAAUUAACUCUGUAGGUGUCCUUUUCUCAGGGAACUUUUCCUUGCCCCCAUCUACCUUCCAUUCCACUUUUCUUUUGAUUUAUGUUUGCAUGAUAAACCUUUCUCCUACAUCCUGGAAUGUUAAAACUCCCUGUGUCUUUAUUUUUCAGCCAGUUUUGUGGUAAACACCAUAUAGUGCACAUUGGGUUGUUGUAUAAUUGAUAAGUAGUAUGGUUUCUUUGAACCUGGCCCUCUCCCUCCUCAAAUCCAGGUUGGGAAAUAAGAGAAAAAAGAAGAAACAGCAAAGAUCUAAUGUGUCAUGGCAUCUUGUGUCCCCAGUUCACCCCAAACACCAUCCUACGGUGUCCUGUGCUCGCUCCCCCUUGCCUUCCUCCUGGGCUUCUUCCUUGAGCUCCACUCUUGAGUAAAGAUGGAACAUGCUUUCUCCAUCUGACCUCUUUCAUUUAUGUUACAGUCCUAUCAUGUCCCAUCCUGCUCCAGGUCUUUUUGUGUAAUCUCCAUUGUGAUAAAAUUCAUCAUCCAUUUUACUCUUUUGUUUAUGAUGUUUUGUACAAAGUUGUCAAAUGUAUCUAAGGUCCAGCAUAUUAUAGUUUUGCAAAUACUGUUGAAAGUGAUGUUGAAAUUUUUAUCUCUUACUUUCAAAGUAUUGGUCUCCCUACACAACUACUGGAUGCCUUUCAUUUUAUGUAUAUCCAGGCAUUUUUUCCUUAAGUAUGUGUGAAGCAAUUAAAACUCUGGAGUCUCUCCCGGGAGAGAAUGAUUGUGCAACUAAUUACAUAGCAUUGUUCAGAUGAUUACUGACCAUAGAAUAAAAAUUUAGGGUGUAAAUAUGUGAAGAAAUGAAAUGAGAAAGGACCUAUUAUGACCCGUGUAGAGAUCACUGUAUAAUAAGUACUAUAGGAUCGCAUUUUGUAUUUUCUUAAGAAUUUCAUGAUUUGUUUUUAUGAUAUUUUGUUGCAGAUUAAAGUUUGGAACGAGUCACAGUACAUUAGGGAAAUGAGGUGGAGGAGGCCUACUGUGAGACCCCGUGUCAGAAAGCAAAGCAGGAGUUUCCUUGGUAGGCCAGCCUUCAGCUGAGUGUUCCUGGGUUCCUGAGGACAGAGAAGCCUUGGAGGCUGCAAGUCUCGUGUCCUCUUGAUGAUCUCCACACCUGAGGAUGGUUGAGAAUAGACAGCUGCUGAGACUGGUCAUCCAUCACUGCAUGUGCCAGAUUUCUCAUUCCUGGUGACUCCAGGCAGUUGCUGUAAGACUUAUGUCCUGUCGAUGAGCUCUGUACGUGUGGACUGUUGAUGAUGGUUAAAGUUUGGAUCGAGUCAGAGUGCUGCAUUAGGGAAAUGAGGUGGAGGAGGCCUGCCAUGAGACCCCCAUGUCAGAAAGCAAAGUGUAUGAUGGUCAGGUCAUGGGAGUGAGCAUUUCCAUUUCCUUGUGGAGGCUUUGAAAAGAGGAUGAUCUGAAGAUGCUAUGGAGAUUGCUAGAACGGCCAGUCGCUGUGGUAGGCACGCCGUCAGCUGGGUGUUUCCGGUUCCUGGGCCCUGGAGCACCCUAUGAGGGCUGCAAGCCUGUGUCCCCCCGAUGAGCUCCAGGCCUGUGGAGUGCGCAGGAUGGGUGAGUUGCUGUGGCACACAUGCCUCUGCUGGCUGGGCCUGCCUUCUGGACCCCAGAGGAGCCUUGGAGGGCUGCCAGCCUUGUGUCCUCAUGACCAGCUCCGGGCUUGUGGAUGUUCAGGACAGUGGUACUGCCAUGUGAUGGAUUCCAGAGGACUACCAGGAAGACUUCUUUAUCCUAAGAUACAAUGAGAGGUCAGCAUACCCCAGGGCGAAUGUGAAAAGGCUUCUUUUGGUUGAUGGUGGAUGGCUGAUGAUGGUAAACAGCUCCUUGAGCAAACAUACUUUUGGAAAGCUGAACAAAGAGUGAAAAAACUAUACUGUCAUUCUCAUUGAACUGAGGUCCAGCACACUUCUCCAACAGGGACUAGAAAGAUGAGGGAUUGGAAUGAGACAGCUGGCAAUUACUCCCAUUGAGAGCAGUGCUCAGCUGGGCCAGGAGUAGGAUACAGCCCUUCUUAGGUGAAGGGCCAUCACCUAACGGUGCUUCGGACUCUCAGGUGCAACAUGUAGCUGGUUUGCGUGGCCUCUUCCCUGUUUGACUGGAAGGUCUGGGGCACACAGAGCCUGCCUGUGUGGGUGAGCCUGCUUGUGCCCUAGGAUGAAUUAGCCUAGCUGCAAGCCCGCUUCUUUGCUGCCAUUUUGGUUGCUGAGUGUUGGUGCUUUGGUCCAUUGUUCCCUAGAGGGAGACAUUCCAAGUUGUUGUGAAUGGAGCCCAAGGCAGGCCUUGGCACUGGCUUGGCUCCCUUUGAUGUCCAAUAGUUAGCUAGCAGAGCCUCAGGACAGUGGGGUGCAAGCAGUGGGAGUAUGUUUGCGGUGUGUGGCCAUUGGGAUUUUGCUCCCUGUGGGAAGGCUGGAGAAGGUACGUAUGGUUUUCCCUUGUAGGAAUAUCCUGGAGAAAUGCAAAGUGGGUGGCUUGCUGGGCCAAGAGCAGGUGAGAAAAGUAUCAGGGAGUGGGUGCCUUGCAUGUAUUGCAUGGAGGCUCAGCAGAUUGUUUCGGCAGCUGUCUCUGGAGUCUGGACCCACAGGACUUGUGUGGGAUUUCGUGUGUCCAUCUCUUCUGGCCUGUCAUAAGCUAGACACAAGCAAGUAUACAACUUGGAGUUAGACUCUGGUUUUAGCCCCUUACUAAAGGCAGAACAGUGAAGGACACUGGAAGUAGAGAAGCCAUGUGGCUGUGUGCUAAGUUGCCCAUGUGCACUGAGACUACUGAUUGGGGUCUCUGUCCCCAGAUGUGUGUCAUAGGCUGCUGUGUUCUGAAUUGGCUGAGAGAGGACAUUGGAGGGGAGGAGUCAUAGAGAAACUUUGUUGGGAAUGGGAUUGGUGCAGUGGAAGAGGACAAUAAGUGAGGGUUGUUUUGUGUUGCAGACGUGCCAACAUUGUUUGUAUGUUGAAAAGAAGGUAUGGUGCUCGUGCUCACUUUUGGACCAAUCAGUAUGGAGAAUUCCAGGCUCAGGGUCCCCUGCUUGUGCCUAGUGCACAGUUGCAUUGUUCAUAGAGUGAGUGAAUUUGCCUGGCCCUAUAUGGUCCUAUACCUAUAGCAGUCUGUGGCGAACAAGUCCCCAGUAAGGUCAAGACUUUCUUUUGUGGAUGUCAGGCUCUAUAGGUGUUUCUUUGUAAGGCUGCAGAUGAGAGAAGGGCUUUAGUGAGAGGUUCUAGUUUCUUACACUUUUCCGUAAUGAUACAUUCACUGAAAAUGAAUGCCCGUUCUCUGUGCAUGCAUGUUUGACUCUACUGUGGAAGGAACAACUGAGGCAUAUGGAUCUUACAGGGGAGGCAAGAGGGCAGUUGGUCAAAGUGAAUUGUUCUGACAAGCUGUGUACUCUUUUGCUUUCUGAAGUAUGCUUGUGUUUUUUCUGCAUGUCUCAGGUGGUUUUGCCUUGUGACAGAUUCCAGGGACAAGAGGGAAGAUUAGCAUGUCCUGAGGCCCACAGAGAGGUCAAAAAACCCUGCAGCACAUGUGCAGAGGCUUCUUCUGAAUGUUGAUGAAUGGCUGAUGAUGGUAAGAGGCUCUGUGCACAAACACGCUGAGGUUCUUAAUUUCUAGUUCUAGACAGUGUGCUUGGAUCAAUGCUGACUCUCAUACAUGCAUUCCUUGGAAAGCUGAACAAACUGAGUGAAAACUCAAAACCAUCAUUCUCAUUGAUUGAGGUCUAGCACAUUACUCCAGGAGGGACUAGAGACCUCGGAUGGGAAGGUACAGGGGCAAUUACUCCCACUGGGGGCACUACCUAGUUGGGCCAGUUACAAUAAGAAAAGUCCCUUGCUGUGAAAAGGGCUAUUCUGUAGACACCUCAGACUCCCAAGUGGUGGCCUCCUUGCUUUUUGGCUGUUGCUGGACCACAGGAGCUUAAUGACUCAGUGAGAGUAUGCGUAUCUCUGGAAUGCCAGGUAUGGUGGCACCUGCUUGUAGUCCCAGCACUUGCAAGGCUAAGGCAGAAAGAUUUCCAUGACCUGCACAAACAAAUCAGAACAACUAAAAACAGAUAUCUCUGGAAGAGUUAGCUUAGCUGCUAGCCUGCAUCUUUAUUGCCAUUCUGUUUGCUGAGUCUUGGUGCUUUGGUCUUUUGUCCCCUAGAAGGAGACAGAAUUGGUUGUUGGAAAUGCAGCCCAAGACAGGCUUUCACAUUGGCCUGGCUCCUUUUGGUGGUCUUUCUAGGACGUUGUAGUACCCAGGGCAUGGCUAUUGGAACUUUGGUCUCUGGGGAAAGACAAAGAACACGUGUGUGGUUUCCCCGUGUAAUGAUGCUGUGGAGAAAUGUGAAAUGGGUGGCUAGCUAGGCCUACCACAGGUGGGAGAAGUGUGAUGGGUAGAGCGCUGUGGGUUUAUUUUGUGGCUACCUUACAAAGUGAUUCUGUGAGGGAAUUUCCAGUGGCUGUCCCAGGGGUUUGGACCCAUGGCAGGUGUUGGUCAGUCAGGCCCGUGAGGUCCCUGUCUAGUCACCCCAGUGGUCAUAGCAUUCGUAUAGGAUUCAGUGUGUCUGUUGCCCUGUCACGUUCAGGUAUCAGCAGCCCCACCAUGUGAGGUUAGAGUCCAGUUUUAGCCUUUGCUGAAGGCAUAAAGUGGAGGGACACCUUAUUUGUACAGGCUGUGAGCCCAUGCACUAAGAUGAACUUACACAUUGAGACUAUUGUUUGGUGACUUGCACUGGAUGUGUGCCAACAGCUUUGUGCUGUGCCUUAGCUGAUAGAAGGGUGUUUGAGAAGAGGCAUCAUGGAGACACCCUAUUGCAAAUGAGGUUGAAAUAGGGAAGUAGAGCUGCAAGUGGAUAUUGACCAGUAUUGCAGAAGCACACUGACUUUGGCAGUAUGUCAGAAAGUAUUUGUGGUGCUGGUUCUUGCUUUUAGGUUAUGUGCCAAUCAGUAAGAAGAGUUUCCAGGGCCAUUGUAGCCUGUCAUACCCAGUGAACAGUGGAGCAUUGUCCAUGGAGUGACCUUGUAUAGUUGCAGACAAUUCUGUACUUCUCUUGCCUGUAGUCUGUGGCUGACACAUCACAGAGUUCAAGACUUCAUUCUGUGGAAGGCAGGUUCUAUAGGUAUUUAUGUACAAUGUUGCUGGUGUGAACAGAACUUUGAUAAGAGAAUCUAGCUUUGUGCUUAUUGGUGUGCUGAUCCAUGGAUUCUCAAUGAAUGCAUGUCUCAUACACACAUCUGGCUCUACAUUACCAAAAGAAGCAGAGGCACAUGGAUACUAGAUAGUAGGCAAGAGGAUAGAGGCCAUAUUGCAUUGCCCUUGUGACCUGUGUACCCAUAUACUUUUCUGAAGAAUGCCUAUGUUUCUUCUGUACUUCCCAGGUGACCUUGCCAUAUGAGGGACUCCAAACACUUAGUGGGAAGAUCUGUAUCUCUUCAGAUCGCUAGAGAGGUCAGCAAGCCCUGGGACACAUCUGGAGUAUCUUCUUUUGUUUGAUGAUGGAUGGCUGAUGACAGUAAGUAGCUCCAUGUACAAACUCAUUUGAGUUUCUUAAUUUCUAGGACUCAAGAAUGUGCUUGGAUUGAUGAUGACUGUCAUACAUACAAUCCUUGGAAAGUGGAAAAAAAUGAAUGGAAAAUCAAUACUGUAAUUGUCAUAGAACUGAGGUCCAGCACGCUUCUCCAGUGGGGACUAGAGAGAUAGAGGAUGGCAUGGAACAACUGACCAUUAAUUCCCAUCACAGGCACCUCUCAACUGGGCUAGGAGGAGUAGGAUAUGGCCUGCCUUCUUCACAACAGCUGUCAGUGGAUUUUUGGGACUCUUGGGUAUAGCAUGUAGCUUGUUUGAAUGUCUGGCCAUCCUUUUACUGACCAGGACUUGGACACAAAGAGUCUGUAUAGGUUGCUGAGUUCGCUGUUGACCCAGGAAUAUUUAGUCUAGCUGCUAGCUUCAUCAUUGGUGGUCUUGGUGCAUUUGGUCCUCCAUUCUCUAGAGGGCGAUAGUUUCUUGUGGUUCAGGAUGGAUCACCAAGCAGGCCUUAACACUGGCGUGGGCUAUUUUGAUGGUUGUUGUACCCAGGGCAAUAGGGUAUGAUCCUCUGUUGGUGCCCAUUGGGAUUUUGCUCACCAACAGAAAGCAAGAGAUACAGUUUCCCUUGUAGCAGUGGCCUGGAGAAAUACCAAAGGGGUGGAUAGUUAGAGGGUGAGAGAAGUUUGAGGAAGAAGGUGCUGUGCAUGUAUUGCAUGCAUGCUCAUCAAAGUGAUUUGGUGUCUUGGGAUUUUGGUCCCAUGGCAGUGAUUGGUCAGCAACAACCCUGAGAUCCCUGGCCACUCUCCCUAGUGGCCAUAGCACUUGUAUAGAAUUCAGUGUGUCCAUUUCUUCUGGCUGCCAUGUACCAACCAUGAGUAGUCCUACAACAUGCAGUUAGGGUUUCUUUUCAGUCUUUGCUGAAGAACAAGGAAGGGUAGCAGAGGUGCAGAGGCUGUGAGCCAUACAGUAAAUGACCUUGUGCACUGAGGUAGGGGACUGUGGCAUCUGCCCCUGGGAACAUCUUUUUAAAAGCCACAGCUUUUAUCUUCUGCAUUGGCCAGGAGGAGGGUGUUUGAGGAGAGCAAAUGGAGUUGGAGCAGCUCGUGAGCAUUGUCCAGUGUCACAGCGCUGCUGUCUUUGACAACAUGUUGAAAAGCACCCACUGUGCUGUGCUUAAUUUAUGCCACGUGCUGUUCAGUAGGGAGAGUUUCUAGGGCCAUUGUGCCUAUUGUACCCAGUCCAUAGUAGGGGAUGUUACACUGAGAACUGCACGGAGCCACAGUGCAGUACUGUGCCCACCAAGCUAGCAGCCUGUGGUCUACAAGGCCCCCUGAGAGGUUGAGACUGUCUUUGGCAGAAGGCAGGAUCUGUGGGCAUUGCUAUGCCACACUGGAGGUGUGCAGAGAGGGCUUUGCUGAGAGUUUGCAGAUCUGCGUUCUGUAGUCCAGUGGUGCAUGCACUCUGUGAAUGCUUGUUCUGUGCGCAUGUCUGGCUGUACUGUACCAGGAGCAGACGAGGCAUAUGGGUCUUAGUGGACAAGAACAUGGUAGGGCAAGUGACAUGUCCCUCAUGCUCUGUGUACCUGUCUCCUUUUCUAAAGCGUGCCUGUAUUUCUUCUGCAUUUCCCAGUUGGCUUUGCCAUGUGAUGGAUUGCAGGGACCUAGAGAGAAGAACUGUGUACCCGAGACCCUCAGAGAGGUCGACGUGGAUUGACCUCAUUAGGGUAGCAGUGCGUGUCUGAUGAAGGUAAGUGGCUGCACGUGCAAGCACACAAUUUUUCCUAAUUUAUAGGGCUCAAGAAUGUGCUUGGAUCAAUGAUGACACUCAUAAAUGCAUUCCUUGGAAAGCUGAACAAAAUGAGUGAAAAAUAUAUACCGUUGUUCUCAUCGAACUGAGGUCCAGCACACUUCUGCAAUGAAGGCUAGAGAGAUGGUGGUGCUGGGGUAGGUAAUGGGACAGGGCAGUGGCAAUUACUCCCAUUGGAAGCAGCGUUCACUUGGGCCAGGAGUAGGACAUGACCUUCCUUGAGAAGUAUUAGGGAGAGGGUAUGUAGAUGUCCUUCAGAGUUAUUUGCUGAGUGAGGUUUCUAGUGGCUGUGGCAUGGUUUGUGUUGGGGUCAGUAUCUGUCAGCAGUGACCCUGGAUCUUGGACUACCCACCUUAAUGACCACAGCACUUGUGUACGAUUCCCGUUUCUUCUGGUCUGUCCUAUCUUAGCAGUGAGCAGCUCUGUAACAUGGAAUCAGAGUACAGGGUCAGCUUUUGCUGAAAGCAGAACUCAGAAGGACACUGGAGGUACGGAGGCUGUGAGGCUAUGAGCUAAGCUGCCCAUGCACACUGAGUCUGCUGCCUCAGGACUCUGCCACUGGAUGUGUACCAGCAACUUUUAUGUUCUGCAGUGGCUGAGACCAGGGCAGCAGAGGGCAGGGGUAAUGGGGAAGUCUUGUUGUGAAUAUUCAGUGCAGGGGAGGUGAGCAGCUGAUAGACAUUGCCAGGGUCCAGAUGUGCCAACUUUGGCAGUGUGCAGGAACAGUGGUGGUGCUGGCCCUUGGUUGGAGCCAUGUGCUAGUCAUAGGGAGAGUUUCCAGGGCCAGUGUGCCCUUCUGGUCCCUGGUUCACAGUGGGGGAUCGUCUAUGGAAUGACACCCCAGGCUCCCAUGCAGUACUGUGCUUAUGCUGCUAGUUGUCUGUGGCCUGCAAACCCCCUGGAGAGGUCAGGCUUCCUCUUGGGAAAGGCAAGUUCUGGAGAUAGUGCUGGGUCACACUGCAGAUGUGGAGGGUAGGGCUUCAACAAGAGGUUCGAGCUUUAUAGCCUGCUGUGUGAUGAUGCAUGCACUCACAGUGCAUACUUUCCUGUGCGCAGUUGUCUGGCUUUCCUGUACAAAGAGCAGCUGGGGCACAUGAAUCUUAGAUAAUAAAUAAAAGGUUACUUGGUCAAAUUGAAUUGCCCUCGUGAGCUUUUUACCCAUCUGCUUUUCUGAUUUAUGACUCUUCUGCAUUUCCCAUGUGGCAGAUUGCUGAGGCACAGCAUGAAGACCUGCAUAUCCCGAGAGCCCUGGGAAGCUCUGGAAACCACGGAGCUAUAUGAAGUGGCUUCUUUUGGACGGUGGAGGAUAACAUUUAUAGUGAAAUUAAAGAGAAGAUGAAGUAUGUCCGAAUUCCCUGGAAUCUUGUCGCCAAACCAGAGAAGUGCUGAUUUUGUCACUUGUACCAACUCCCUCAUCUGUGAAGGAAUAAAACAAUGUACUCCUGGGGUAACGUUCAUUUUUAAUAAACGUAUUUUUGUGUAAUUUGAGUAUUUUUAAAAUUAUCAACAAAUUAAUGUGUGAGCAGUUGAUAAACGCAAGUAUUAUUGGCCAUUACCAAUCUGAUGAGCUGUCUGAGAUGUCACUCAUUAAGAUUUUGUGCUUUUCUCAAUUUCAGAUAAUAUCUAAAAUAUCUUACAGAGAUUUAUAAAUUACUGUAUUUUAUAUACAGAUUAAUAGUAAAAUCUAUCUUGUGCAAGUAUGAAAAAUGUGCAGAGUCUUCCUCCUAUUCAUUCAUAUGUAUAUUUGUGUGUGUGUGUGUGUGUGUGUGUGUGUGUGUGUGUGUGUGUGUAUUACUUUCUGCCGGUCAAAGAGGACCAAGAACUGGGCUUCAUGUGGAUGAAUUUAUUCUUUCCUUUUUGUUUGACACAAAGGAAAGUAUAAGGAAAAAUUCACCCUCUCACUCUCAAGGUUCAGUGGGAGUCUCGUCUGGUAAGCAUUUUUCCUGAAAACACUGACAUUUCCCUUACAGCACCGUAAUAGUCCGGUGAGCCUGGACUGCAGCAACACUAGGCAACUUUGGGGCUAGUACUUGGCGGUGGCACUGGUCUCCUAUGGGCAAGAAAAUAGUCUAAAUCAAAAGAGAAUGAGGCUUUUUACUCUUCAUUUCUCUAGUGAGUGAAGGAAGUAUAUGGAAACUGAAAAGUGAUUAUGUAGGAUCUUCAUAGUAUAUUUUAAGUUUCUUGCUAACUAGGCUCUAGCAUUGAAUUGUUUCUUUUUUCUCAUAGGCUGAGUGAUUUCAUAUACAAAUGAGUGUUAGCUUCAGCUACAAGCAUUUUAGAUGUGAAAUGAUUAUGUUUCUAAUUCUUGUUUUUAUGUGGAUUUUCUUGGCCAGUUUUAUAUAUCCUCAAAGGGUUUUCAGCCAUUUUGAAGAUAGACCACAGUUAUAAUGUGGUGGGUGUACUAAUGACACUUCAAGACCAGUAUUUUAGAAAUUUUAUUUCUACAAUUUCAUUUUUUUCUGUUUUCUAGUAUUAUCCCAUUUCAUUUUAUUUCUAUUCAUCCACAUUCCACAGAGUUAGUGUUAAUUGUUCUUGUCAUACAGAUGGUUAAAUGAUUACCUGGAAAAUUCUUUGCAAGCACUUGUUGCUAAAUACUCAGUUAGGUAAGUUUUGCUUUCCAAUUCCCCAAAUCCUCUAUUGUAGAUUGGAAAUGAUGUUGAUGGGAAGGAACAAAAGUUUGCUGCUUGGAAUUCUUACUAACACCAAAGAAAGACAAUUUUUGUCACUUUAGUUUGUCACCAGCUUCUUCUGUGUGAGAGAUCAAAAUGAUGCCUGCCAUUUUUAAUACAUGUAUUUUUCUAAGUGAUUUUUAUUAGUAAGUUAGAAUUAAAUUUCUUUUACAAAGUCUGUUAAUCCAAAUAGUAUAAGACAUUAGUAAAUUGGUGAAACAUCCAGGGCUUCUUUUUCCUCCCUCAGAAUUUUGCACUAUCAGUACUAUAAUGAUAUCAGAAACAUCUCAGUAGAGUUAUAAGUUAAUAUACCUUCUAUGCAGACACAUAAUAAAUCCUCUUAUCUGGUACGUGGACACAUGUGCUUCUCAUGUUCUCACAUUUUUACUGUAUUCCCACAGGUCAACACAUACCAAAAAUAGGUUAUAUAUGAAAAAGUUUAUGCAUUGCUCUUAAGACAUAACAUGAAGGGAAUUGUUAGAAAUAAUUCUACCAUCCAUUCUUGAGACAUAGUGGAAAUUCUCACGAUAAACAUUUUUUCCUGCACAUGACAAUGCUGAUACUCUUCUUAGGGAAUUGCAACACUGCAGUGAUAAUGAGAGUCUGUCUGUGCUGGUCAGUCAUGGGCUGGCUCAUUGUAUUCCCUGGUCUCCAUGACUUAAUAGUGUGCAAGAGGGGUGGGAUAUUUAGCAUUUAGUAUCUGUCACCUGUCCCUUUUACAAAUGUGCUGGAUAAAGGAUGACUGUAAUAAAUGAUCUAUUGAGAAUGUAUACAAAAUAAGCAACAGCUGCUUCUCUGUAAGACAUAGAAUGGGCUACAUGACAAAGUCAUUUUUAAUCUAAAGUACAUUGUGCUAAUUUAAGUUCUGGAAGUGGGUGGGGUAUAGGGCUGCAUGGUUGUGGAUACAAUUAAUGUCAAUGAAUUGUACACUUAAAAAUGAUUAAUUGUCUUGUGCAUAUUUUACUACCAAAACAAAACCAACUACAUUUCAUAAACACUAGGACCACUGUGAAGAAAAUAACUCAAAAAGAUUAGAAGAAUUUCCAAAGAAUUAAAAUAGCAUCACAGAAAAUACCUAUUUUUUACACAAAAAAAGGCAUUUAAAAAUGAACAAAGAAUCAAAGAGACAUAGACAUAGGAAACAGAGAGGAAAAUGACAGUCAUAAAUCCGGCCUUAUGACAGUUGCCUUCAACUUUUGAAGAGACUGGGAUAUUCUAUGUUUUAAAAAAAAAUGAAGUCACUGUAGACUAUCUACCACCAAGACACUCUUAAAAGUCACAAAUAGUUUGAAUGAGAAAAGCUGCGAAAGAGACAGAGACAGAGAAAGAGAAGAAAGAGGGAGGGAAAGAAUUCCUAGAAGAUAGCUGGAGUGGCUAUACUGACAUCCCAGAAAACAGACUUGAAGAUAAAAUAUUGCUAGAGAUAAACAAAUCUAUUAUAUCAUGGUAGAAGGUUAAUUAUACUCUGGAAUACUUAAUAAUUAUAAUCAUACAAUCACUAACAACAGUGCUCCAAGUUAGGUAAAGGAAAAGAUCACAUGAUGAAAUGGAUAAAAGGUAAUUCAACAGUAAUAAGACUUUUAUCCACCAACUUGACCUUGGGGGGCAGGAGGAGAAUAUACAAAGAGAGAUUAGGUUAAAAAUAUACUCAUUAAACUUAAAAGAAUUGAAAUUAUGUAGACUAUGUUCUAUGCUGAUAGGAAAAAUAGAAGUCAGAACAAAAAUGAAUUUGGAAAUUGCCAAAUAUUUGGAAAUUAACACACUUUAUAGAACCUAUGGAUGAAUGAAAAAGUUUUAAACCAUAACAUUUUAUACUGAAUGUAAUACAACUAAUGAUGUGCUUAGUGAGAUGACUACAUUGGAAUAAAGAUAAAUAGCUCAAGCUUCCAGUUAAAAAAAUAAGAAAAAUACUAAGAAAAUGAAGCUAAAAGCAACCAGAGGUAAGUAAAUAAUAAAGAUGUGAGAAAAAAUUGAUGACAUAAAGAAAGAAAAAAAUAGAGAAAAUCCAUGAAACCAAAAGUUGGGGUUAUGCAUGAAUGAGUGUAACUGAUAGAUCUUUAGUAAAUGGACACACUUAAAUUAGGAUUGAAAGGAAAUAUCAGGAAUGUUCUUGGUUGCUUUGUUGUGCUUCCUCCAGGGGAGAUCUAUGGAGGAAGACAAGGUUCUAGUAUCACUUACUAUCCAGCAUGGCAUUUACAUUUGGGUUCUGCUGGUAUCAGUACUCAUCCUUGUGAAUUUUCCAGAAGAUCCUUCAAAAACGUAGUAUCACUGAUUACAAAUUGAUGUGUUUAUAGCCACUUAGAAUUUUUUAGCUAAUUAUGUAAUCUAUUUUUAAUAGACUUAUAGUUGAUCAGUAUUAAGAGUAUAAUGAGUCACUCAUAGUUUGGAUACUUUUAAAUUCUAGCAGUUUUGAUAUCCCUGUGCUUGGCUUAUAUCAUAAAGGCAUUGGGGAUCAAGGCUGUUUGAAUGAUUCUGUCUUUUAGGAAGGAAGAUGGUAUUGGGCCAAAAUGAGGCACCUGGUUGAGAGAAUGUCACUGAGGCCUCAGCAGUGUGCCCUGUUGGGUAUGAGUUUUGGAAGAAUGUGGUAAAUUCCUACACUUUUAUGUGGACUCAGUGUGCACUUGGAAUGUGUUUACCCUUCUCAUCCAUUUAGCCAUGAAGUUUCCAGUUCCAUGCCCCUUCUCAGUUGCUCAGUGUAGUCCAGGCAGAUAGCUGCCCUUUAUAACUGCCUCCUGGUUGGCAUAGCUUGACAGCCCCCUUGACUGGCACUGUUGACUCCCAUUCCCCACGCAGAAUGUGCAGAUGCACCACAGUGACCACUCCCCAUCACAGUGUGAAUCCAUGGAACUCAUGCCCACUUGCUUUAAGCUCAUCAGUGAAAUCCAAAGGGAAACCUGUUUGAAGAGCACCCUGGUGUCUGUCUGUCUCUGUCUCUGUCUCUGUCUCCUAAGAAAUAUAUGGAUGUGGAUCUGGGGCAGAUAUAUAUCUCCUCUCCCUCUCCUGUCGGGAGCAAUUCUACAUAAUUUGGGGGAGAAAUCAUUUGAUUAGGCCUAGUUCUCCUGCCUACAGGCCAGCUACGGCAUUUCGAGACAUGGCUUCAUUUUGGCCUUUGGUCACAACUGAGACCUCAAUGGUCCAGUGAUGCUGUGAUGCUCCCAGGGCAGGAUUACACCAGCUGAAGACAUCCUGGGAAGAAUGAAAUCUUCAUCUACUCAGUUCCUCAUUGAUCUAGGAUUUCCCCUGCCCCCGAGUCAUUUGUUACAUUUAUUUCUCCCGAUGUACUGAAUAAAGGUGUGACAAGCUCAGGGCCUUUCGUCUUUGCCACCCAGAGCAGUACUGAUCGGGCGCAAAGUGUAGCUUCUACCUUUCCUGUAUAAUAAGUUAAUUCACCUUGUGCUGCCGUGGCUCACAGGAGAGUAGGACUCAACUACAGAGGUCCUAGUAACGUCCCCUUCCCUGUUCCUACACCCUCCCUUUUCCCCUACUCCUUACUCCCUUCCCUCUUUCCGUGCACUUCCUGACCUCUAUGUGUGACCCCAGGCAUGCCAUGUACUCCCCAGGACCUGUAAGUGACACAAUCUUUAUUUUUAUCUUGUGUCUAUCCUAAUUAUUGAAAGGGUGUUCUUUAUCUCCCUGAUCCUAAAUUGAAGCAAACAGGAAGGGAAACUGCUUCCCAGCACUGUGCAUGACAAGCUGCAACAUCCUAUAUGAACUCACCGAUUUAGUUAUUUUUCUCAAGUUACUGUACAGAGUAUGUUUUUGCAACAUAAUUGAUAAUCCUCAUGGAUGAAAAUUGGUUCUUGAAGAUGAAAAAAAAUCUUUAUUAUCUUAACUGGCUUGUGAGAUACAUAAACAGAUAUAUAGCCUACCCGUCCUACUGAAAUUUGAGCAGGGUUGGUAUGGAUUAAAAACCAAAGAAAAAUGUCUAAAAAAUUAUCCAAGGAUGAUAAAAAGAAUAGGCUGAGAAGGGCUGUUUUACACAUAUGGAGAAAUUAGCGUUUCUUCCAUCUGAACCUCAGAACCAGGUGUGAACUGUAUUGUUGGUACAGUUUGUCAAGAUUGCCUUAGCACGGCAGGCUUUGCAGAGACCAUGAGUUUAGAAGGCUGUAUUUCUUUUCCCAGUUAAAGACACUUCAUAGCUGUUUCUUCUGCAGUAUGUUAGUUUAAACCUUUACCUAAGAGAUGUGUCCGUGUGUGUGGUUGCUUUGAAGGAAACAGCUGUUUGUCUUCUGUUGGAAAGGCAUUUGCAAUUCAGAAAACUCAGCUGGCCCAGGUUCACAUCCAUGUAUUUGUUGGCAGGAAUUUUCAGAACCAAAUUUAGUAUAUGUCUGAUACCAAAGAUUUAUGUGUACACAGUGAUUUGCCAUUACUCUGGCCCCCCAAAAUUUUCAAACCUUUGUUUAGCCCAAACCAUUGUAUAGUGCGACCCACUUAAAGGAUGAUUUAUGGUGAACUUACACGUUUUUCUCUUUUUAAUAGUAAUCUGAACAAACAAGAAAGUAUAACAGUCAUUUGCUGUCUGAAUAAUAUUUCUUUAUUGUCAUAAUAUUAUUUCUAACUUUCUCCUCACGAGGCCAAAUCUGUGUCUUGGUACACUAAGGAAACCACUAAGAAGUACCCUGACUCCACAAUGUAAACACUAGCACUCCAGGGCCUUUGGCAGAGGUCUCCUGUCACUGUCUGCGUCUACGCUCUAAUCCCUUGUGGUACAGGCUGCGGUAGCAACAAGAUGGCAUAAUUCAGGGCUAGAGCCACCCCAAACACUGUGUUUCCCAGGUUCACUGAGAGAAGAAUAUGUAGAGUCUCUUAAGCUAUUUCUGCUUGCGGACCAUGAACUAUCCUUGAAUAGUCCAUGGAGCUUGAGAUAAUUAGGCAAAGAGUAGACAUGAUUUCUAUAGUUCAUCUAAAAGUUUCCUCAACAAUAUCACCCAGCAGUAGACAGAAUAUCCAUCCAGAGAGAGUUAUACUGAACUUCUUGUUUCUGACUCUGAACAAUUACAUUUAAAACUGUUUCAUUUAUAAAUUUGAUUUUAUUCUGCUUUAGAAAAAUUAAAAAAACUUUUAUUGCUUUUUUGAUAUAUUUCUCUACAUUUUGAAAGAUUAAUCAUCUUUCCAAAUAGUUAUAUCUUUUGUGUGAGUGUAUUACAAAUAUUUUCCAGAGUUUUAUUUUGUAACAUCCAUACUUUAAUUGUGCAAUAUAAAAGACACCAGAAACAAGUGGCUAUUUAAACCUGAAUAUAAAUUAAUUAAAAUUAAACAUUAGUUGUUGAGUCAUACUAGCUGCAUUUUACAUGAGGCUAGAGCAUAUCUCUAUGAGUGAUCAUACUCUUGCAGGAAUGACCACCAUGAGGGCAGGGAACUGCAUUUUUGUAGGUAAGAGGCCUAUAGUGUAUAAGAGUAGAUAGAACCACAUGUGGACAGCAUGGAAUUAUAAAAUAUUUUCACUGUCAUAUCACCAAGUUCUGUUUCAUGCAAAUUGUUUAGAGCCGCUACAUGUAUCAGUAUAUGAUACAAAGAUGCAGAUGUGAUAAAUACAAGCUCUAUAAAAUGUUGAAAUCUUAGCUAAGAUUAUUCAGAGGAAAGUGUGUUUGAAAAUAGAAUUAUAAACUAGCAUAUUGAUAAAUAUUUCUAAGUUUGGUGACUUUAGGAAGCAAGAACAUAAAGUAAAGCUGUCUUCUAUCAAUGUUUAUAUCUAGAAGACAAAUGCAAGUUUUAAUUUUUAUUGUAUGUUUUGGCUUGGCUUUUCUUUGUAGGUAAAAGUUACAAUUUUAUACUUUAUAUUAACCUAGUGUUUGAAGAUAACUUAAUGGGCAACAGGACAAUAGAAGAAAAUCUGUAAAUACAUUUGGUAAAAUUUGUAAUUGUAUUCUGCAGAUGACUUAAAAAGAAUAUCCGAGUGAGAUAUAUACUGUUUCUCAUUUGUUCAUUGGGUAAUCAACAAAAUUGUGGUGAGUAAGUCACAUUUAAGCCAUUCAUUGCUCUAUGCAUUUUAGGGGGACUCUGAUAUGGUAAUCAAAUAUAUUUCUCAUUUUGUCACAUAUAGAUGUUUUAGUCAUAUUGGAAUUGUUGAAAAAUUACUGUAUUGAAAAAUUACAUGCUUUCUUAAAAAUAACCUAAGUAAUGAUAUUGUAUUCAUGUAUGUCUUUUAGAUGAACAAUAGUUAGGACAGUUUUGAUUAUUGUACAUGAACAUAUCCUUUUACUAGAUUAUUGCUUUGGGACAAAUUUUAGACUAUUGUAUUUUUUUAAAGAGUAAUGUAAUUUAAUGCAAUUUCUUUCCCUGUAAAGAUGGUCUUGUGAAAAUGGCUGAGGUAGAAAUAAAAUAAUCUAUCAAUAGAAUUGACAUAUGGAAGGGAGCUUUCCUUUGAGUUUAAUAGAGACCAUAUUUUUGUUGCCAUGUAUAUAGCAAUAAAAUUUUUAUUUUAUAGCAUUUAGCCUAACAGAACAGGAUAUUUUAUCUUGCUAACAUAAUUAUUAGCUGGUCCCCCUCUCUGUCCAUUGGACCUUUGGGGAAAGAUAGAGCAUACACAUUUGUGCUCGACACUGAGAACUUAGCAACAUCCAUCCUUCCUACUCUGUGUACACCACACUUCAUGAACAACAUUUUCUUAGAUUACAUGUGUGCACUUGUGUGAGUAUGGCUUAUUUGUACACAAAGGUAUGUGUGCAUAUAUGCAUUUGUUUUCUAAAAUGUUAUUUUCCCUCCUUUUUUCCUUCUUGUCAGGUGAAGAUAAAGCCCAUACAGGAGGGGCAGUUGUUCAGGCACUUGAAUUAACUCCCAAAUGUUAGUUCCAGAAAAUGAGCUGACAGCAUACUUUCCAAUCAAAGUCUCCACUCCUGUGGUCUCUUGGACCCUCUUGCAGGAAAUGACUUUCUGGGAGUGACUGCCACCAGUAAAUCCUUGAAAGAAGAUUCCGCAUAAAGCUCUUCACAUACAUAUUGUCCAAGACAAACUCUCUGAAGGUGGCGAUCACAGUGGUGGUCGAGGUGAUGUGUUACAGUUGGAGCUGUUACUUCUACCACCAUCUGCACCAAAACAGUGACAGUUUUCCUUUGCUGGAGAGUCCUUCUUUCCCGUGUGGCAGUGGAUACCUUCUGCAGAUAAGAAAUGCUUAACUGAGAAAUGCUCAUGUUGGGAUGUCAUCGAUGAGACUUUAAUUUGGGCAUGGUGACUAUUUCCCUUCCUGCCACUUGACUCAAUCCCAGGAGCCUCAGUAGAGGAAAUAUUUUUGCACAAGAAGCUCAAAAUGGUGGAAUUUCUCAGUGCUCCUAUAAAUAUACAUUUACAAUUUGUAUUUGCCACAUGGGAUAAAUUUUAAAGUAGGAUAUAUUCAAAAGAAACCACAUGAUUUUUUUCAAAAAUUCAAAGCGUAUUCAAAUAAUUAAUAUAUAAAUUAAGUGCCCUGCUCUCUUUCAAUUCUAUAGUUUUCUCUAUUAAGGGAGGUGUGUGCAUUCUUUUAAUGUAUAGAUGUGCACAAGCUGUUUUUUGGAGGGGUCUAGAAGUGGGUCCAUCUUGUAAUAUAUUCUUCUGAAAAUUGCCUCCUUCAUUUACCAGUCUUUUCAAUGGGCAUUUUCUAAUAUAUACACAUCUGUGUCAUUUGGUGAGUGACUGCAUGAUUGUUUUGUAGAUGAAAUAUAAUUAAAUGUUUGAGGUAUCUCUCAUUCAUAGAUGUUUAUGUUAGCACCAAAUUUCUGUGCAGUGAACCUCCCUACAUAUCAACAAUUCUACAUUUGUCAAUGAUAUCAUAAUAAAAUUCCUUAGCAGUUGAAUUACUGGGAUUAAGGGUGGGCACACUUCAAAUUUUGAAAAUUAUUGCAAGAUUUCCUUUAAAAUGUGAUUAAUAACUUUAUCCUCGAUGGCAAUGAAUGAGGUUGCCAACUUUCUCACAACCUCACAGAUAAAUGGACUUUAUAAAUAUUUAAAAUCUUUGCCAGUGCGAUCGCCCAAACUAUUGUCUUAAAUUGUAUUUCUUUUGUUUUUAAGUUUAAUCAUUUUUUCAUAUUUAUUAGCCAUUUGUAUUUUUUAAUUUCCUCUUUAUGCCCAAUUUUGGGGGUGUGGGGAGGUUUUAGCCUCAGAUUUCAAAGAGCACAUUUAUUAUUGGUAAAAUAAGUUUUGGAUUGUCAAGCAUUACAGAUAUUUAUACACACUUUUUAACUUUGUUUUUGUUAUAAGAAUGUGUAUGAUUGUUACAUGUUCAAGUAUAACCAUGUUUGCUUUGAUAGCUUCUGAGUUUCAUGUCAUUUUUGGAAAGAUAUUUAUACUGAGUCCAUAAAACCCUUCACCUAUGUUAACUUUGAAUUCUUUUGUGUUUUUUUAAUUCAAAUUCUUAAAUCAUGAGGAAUUUUUUGUUUUGAAAUCUUAAAGCUGCCAAGUUAUUCGCCAUUACUUGCGAUUAUUUGCCAAUAAUUGCCCAUUUAUCUGUAACCAUCUUGCGCAUAUGCUGUAUUCCCAUCUGUGACUGGCUCCAUUUUUGUUCUGUGGAUCUGUGUGUCUCUUCUUCUGCCUUCUGUCUCAUGUGUCUUCUCGUUGGAAGAAAUUACAGUUUAGACUGCAAUUUCAUCAACUUUAAUAAAUUAAUUUAGGGGAGAAUUGUUUCUUUAAUAAUAUUAAGUCUUCAUACUCAAGAACAAGGUAUGUCUCGGUUUCAUUCAGUAAUUUGAAUUGUGGUUAAUAUUUUCACUUUGAUAUUGGGGUUCUUUUAAUUUAUUUGUUUGUUCAUUUUUCUGUAUCUGGAAAUUUAGUUUUGUUUUUUGGGGUCCGUGGUCACCUUACUGUUUUUCCUUGCUUUUCAGAUUUUUUUCAAAAUUCUGUAUACCAGAUUCUUUGCAAAUAUUGAUAGUUUUGAUUUCUCCCCUUCCAGUUGGUCCUGAUUUUGAUAAAGUCCACAGUCUGGUACUUUCAGAGCACUUAAACAGUUGUGGAAGUAUUACCCACCCUUGAUUUAAGUGGGUUUCAGUAGAAUGCUUCUUAGGUUUGAGCAGCACAUUUUUCCUUAUCUGUUUCCCGAAAGACCACCCAGAAGAGCUAUGACCAAGUAAAGCUGAGUCGGUAAACUUAACCGCAGCAAGGGAAAGCAGCUCCUUGACAGGACUUGGUAAUAUCUGCAAAGUGGACUAAGGGUGUGGAGGCCUGGGCUGAUGUGUCCAGGGUGCGGAACUGAUGGGAAGGGCAGAAUCCAUCAUGCAGUGCUUAGGGUUGGUGGAAAGGUGAUCUGGUUCUCAGGGGAAGUCUUGACGAGCAAGUUAAGUACUAAGUGAGCUGUUUGCUGAGGUAAGAUGCCAUCAGUGACAGAAGGCCUGUUUGCCUAGAUGAGCAAGCUGAGUGUAUUUAUCAGUUUACAGUUUUAUCUGGCUGAGCAGGACUCUGUUGGGGUGGUGUCAGUUCUUAUUCCCAAUAGGUAAGUUAUUUUAAUCAUUGAGAUAAUAAGAUCCUAACUUUAAGGUUAAGAAAUUCAGUCUGUUGCAUUACAAGGAAAGUCUUCCACUUUUUAUAUUUCUCUCAGGAACUUUAAUCACUACCAAGCAAUACAUACAAUCAAUGCUUUUUGCACAAAUAGCUGUACUAUUUGUUUUAAAAAUGUUUAUCACCAUAGAAGAAUUAAUUUUCUUUUAUUAAAACUUCUUUUUAUCCUUUGCAUGAGUAAACCCUAUUUUAUUUUCAGAGUGUUUUACUAUUUUAAUUUACUGCUGAAUUCUGGAUUUUAUUUGAACUUUUGAAAGUAUGUGGCUAGGUAAAAUUAAUCUAUAAUUUCCUUUUUGUGCAAUUUUAUCAUGUUUGAUAUCAAAUUAUCUAGUUGUGUUAAAAUGAUUUUGAGGAUUUUCUUUUUACUCUGUGCUGUAGAAUAGAUUUAUUUAUUUAUUUAAUUUAUUUUUGUGGGGUACUGGAGAUCAAACUCGGGACCUUGCACUUGUGAGGCCGGCAGCAGCACCAUUGAGCUAGAUCCCUGGCCCUAGAAUAGGUUUUAAAGCUCUAACAUUAUCAUCAGUGGUGACGUGUACACAUCAGUGAAAUCACCUGAACUCUCCCUUGUUUUUGGCUGUUUGGACUAGAAGUGAAGCUGUCUCAGAUGGACAAUUUUUCAUUCCUUUUCUAUAGUAAUUUUUUUAAUGUUUUAUGUCUUGUAUAUAACCUUUUUCUUUUACAAGGUCUAAAUCCAUGCAGAUUUUUCAAAUACAUUAGCAUGAAGUUUUGAUUAUUUCUUCCUUGCCUUUUUUUAGCCAAAUAGUUUAGUAUAUUUUUAGCAUCACUUGUCCUCCCCUCUCCAGUCAUAUUUUUCAUAUAAUUUAUCGGUUUUCUAAAAUGUCCUUAUUUAUCUGCAUAUUUCCCUGUAUUCCUGUACUUCUUUUCCUAAUAAAUCUUAAGCAUGUAUAAUCCAUUUAUUGACACUUGUUCUUGGUAAUGAAAGAUUUGUUCUGUUGUAUAAUUUAAAAACUUUUCAUUAUGAAUAAUUAUAAGCAUAAAGACUAUGAAGAGAAAAGAACAGUGAACUUGCGGAUACUGGUAACCAGGAACCCAUGUUCAACUGUGAACAUUUACCAUAUUUGCUUUAUGUUAUUAUUUUUUUUAUUUUUUAUUUUUUGGUACCGGGGAUUGAAUUCGGGUCCUUGCGCUUGCACAGCAGGCGGGAAACCACUGAGCUAAAUCCCCAGCCCUGCUUCAUGUUAUUUUAAAAGAGAAAUUAUAACACUUUUCCUUUCCCAGAAGCAAUUUUUUUUUUGUACUGGGGAUCGAACUUGGGUCCUUGCGCUUGUGGGCCAGGCGGCGGAACCACUGAGCUAAAUCCCUG